rnacentral:lncRNA from 1 species
AACCAACAAUGGAAUAUUGCAACCCAACAUGGUGCUGAAAGCUCAUUGAGGGUUUAGACCAAAUACUUGAGGAAUUCAGGGAAAAAAAAAAAAAAAGAAUACUGUUGACUACUCUUAGCCAAAUACAACUUAAUGGAGGGGUAGGAACUAGACCACAGUCUUGAAGAAAGUGUCAAGCUAGGGUAGUGGUGGGAGGACUUGAGCUGAAGGGGUGUGUUUUCACAAGUCCUGCAAUUUUCUUUUAAAAGGAAGCAAAGGAAAUUAAACACCAAAGAAAACUCUCAGAAGUAUAAGAAGGAUCAGCAGAGUACAGUUCUGAAAACUAGUCCAGAGGGAAAACUAGUCAGGAAGGAGGGCCAGCACAUUGGUUGUUCUUUUAAUUAUUUGUUCGAAACCUUGCUGAGAGUCAGUGGAUACACAGGAACUUUGAAUCUCUUGGGAUGACAUGUGUCAUUUGGAGGGAUGGUUUAUGUGUGUGUUAUAUGAAACAAAGGUGUGAAAUUUUUAGUCAGAUUUACAAUAUUUCCUGUUCUCUACCUUCCAGGAAUAUAGUAUGAUUGCAUUUCCUGGCUCCUUUGUUUGGCUGGGACCAUUUGACUAGGUGACCUAUGAAUUUGAGUCGAGAAGUGCCACUUUCCAGCCAAAGCAUUUAAUUACCUCUGUGCAGCCCUCCAGGGCUCACUGCCCCCUCUGCCAUGACAUCCAGCAAUGUUCCAGAGAGUGACCACUCAGUGUUUGGGUCCCAGAGAGAGGAAGAUACAGAGCUCCAGCUGACCCUCAGUGGACAUGUGAUGUUCUUUUCCCAUACAGAUUAUUGCAGAAUACUGAAUAGAAUUCCCUGGGUGAUAUGGUAGGUCUUGUUGAUUAUCUAUUUUAUAUAUAGUAGACUUAUAUCACUUAGGAUAAUACCCUCCAGAUCCAUCCAUGUUGUUGCAAACAGCAAGAUUUCAUUUAAAAAAAAAUAUUGAAGUAUAGUUGAUUUAAAAUGUUGUGUUAAUUUCUGGUGUACGGCAAAGUGAUUCAGAGAUAUAUAUGUAUUCUUUCUCAUAUUCUUUUCUAUUAUGUUUAUCAUAGGCUAUUGAAUAUAGUUCCCUGUGCUAAACAGUAGAACCUUAUUUAUCCAUCCUAUAUAUACUAGAAUAUAUACUAUAUACUAAUAUAUAGUAUAUACAUAUAUACAUACAUACACUAGUAUAUACACUAUAUACUAAUCCCAAACUCCCAACCCUUCCCAUCCCCAACCCCUAUAGAAUGUCUUAAUUCAAUUCCAGCUAGAUAGUAGAAGUCCUUUCUGGACACAGUCAGAUUAGUUCAGUAACUGAGACAGGCUUGGGGGUGGAUUGAGUUUACCCAUUAGUUUAGGUUCAAAUGCAUAGAAGAGAAAUGAGACGUGGAAGAUAUAAUUCCUUUGAGGGGUGACUAAAGGAACAUGAUUAAAAAAGUAGAAAACUUGAGUGGUUCCAGAUUUGUGCCAUCUCUCCGAGCCUCUGAUAUAAAUUGUUGUUUGUAACCCAUACUUUGGGCAUACUUCCUGUGCUCCGUGUGUAAGCAUAUAUCUGUGGCUGGCUGGAGGAUGAACAAUGCCUUAGUCGAGGGUAUGAAAGGGGACCUUCAGACAGGAACCACAGUCCCAGAGAUUCAGAUGUGAGGGAAAUUCUGACCAUUUUCUUGCCUGUCCCCCCCAUCCUCUGCCUUCCAUUGGCCAAAAGCAAUUACAGGGCACAGGGCAAGAGAUCCAGGUAAUACCUUCUUCAGGAGUCAGCCCCUCCAGAGAUACAGAGACCAGAAGGAAACAGAAGGGACAAGGAGGAGUGGAGACUAACCGGUGUCUGUGUCUUACAGAUUAUAAUUAAUCCCGAUCAGGUGCUCAGUAAUGUCUGCCCUAGAGUUAGUCCCAUCUUGUAGAGUGUUAAUGCUCUCUGCCUAAAGAGAAAACCUUUGUUUCUUUUGAGAACCGAGAACAAAUAAAAGGAGUAGUAUCUUCUUAGUAAAUGAUGUUGGGGAAAUCAGAUGUCCAUGUGCAAAAGAAUGAAGCUGGGACUUUGCCUCACGCCAUGUGUAAAAAUUAACUCCAAAUGUAUCAAAGACCAAACCAUAAAAGCUACAACUAUAAAACUCUUACAAGAAAACAUAAGACAAAAGUUUCAUUCAUGACAUUGGAUUUGGCCAUGUCAUAGCGAUUUCAUGUCAUGACAUAGUGACUUCGCAGAUAUGACACCAAAAACACAGGUAACAAAAGUAAAAAUUGAUAAAUUGGACUAAAUUAAAGUAAACUCUACAUCAAAGGAUAUAAUCAACAGAGUGAAAGUAUAGCCCUUAAAAUAGGAGAAAAUAUUGCAAAUCAUAUAUCUGAUGAAAGAUGAGUCUCCAGAAUCUAUGAAGAACUCCUACACCUCAACAACAGAAAAAAAAAGCAAGCAGAUUUAAAAUGGGUAAAGGAUUUGAAUAAAUAUUUGUUUCAAGAAGAUACACAAAUGACCAAUAAUCACAUGAAAAGAGACUCCAUAUCACUCAUCAUUAGAGAAAUGCAAACUAAACCCCAAGGAGAUACAACCUCACACCAAUUAGUGUGGCUACUAUAAAACAAAACGAAACCAAAACAAACAAACAAAAAAAAACCUCAGAAAAUAACAAGUGUUGGUGAGGAUGUGGGGAAAUUGGAAACCUUGUGCUUUGCUGGUGGGAAUGUAAAAUGUGAAGUUGCUAUGGGACUUCCCAUUGUGGCUCAGCGGAAAUGAACCUGACUAGGAUCCAUGAAGACGCAGGUUCGAUCCCUGGCCCCGCUCGGUGGUUUAAGGAUCCAACAUUGCCAUGAGCUGUGGUGUAGAUCGCAAUGCAGCUCAGAUUUGAUAUUGAUGUGGCUGUGGUGUAGGCUGGCAGCUACAGCUCCAAUUUUACCGCUAGCCUGGGAACCUCCAUAUGCUGCAGGGUGGCCGUAAAAUGACCAAAAAAAAAAAAAAAAAAAAAAA